AAAAGAACCAAAAGACACAUCAAAUCAACAACACCUUGUCAUUCAAAUGCCCAACUGUAGACUCUUAGUAUAAAGGAACUUUAAUGCUGUGGUGGUGGCUGGCUUAAAACCCAGAAGACCCAGAAGCCACUGAUGCUCUGUUGCGUCUACCUUUGGAUGUGGAAACGAAUGCAGUACAUGGAGUUGCUGGUGGCUGGAACCUCCUGAUGUAUUCAUAUUGUGCUGGAGCAAUUGGAGCAUAUGGUUUAACAAAAAACCUUAGAAGAAACCACACUCAGCAGAAGAGAAACAACAUAUUCAAGUUAAUAAUAAGGCAAGAGCUGUGAGAUAUAUACUUGGCUAGGAUUUCUGACAAUAAAUUCAGAUCCUUGUGGGGUAGCAGCUGCGUGGGGAAUACUAUCAGCAGUUCUAAUUCUCAUUGCCUACAAUUAGCAAUUUAAGGUUUGGCAAUAUAUAGACAUUGAGAGAAUGAAUGUAAAGAAUAUCAUUAUAGUCAAAAUCAGAAACUCACAAUGUUAAUCCCACUGGAAGAUCCAGUUACAUCAUGCUGAUAUGGGUUUGGGUUUGAAUACCCAGCUGCAUCAUUAUGAUGUAGGUUUGGGUUUGAAGAGCUAGCUAUAUUACUUGUUUUCUUGCCUCUCUUGUGACGAGUUCUUAUAUUGUGACCUCCAUACUUGCUACAUCUGUUGACAAUGCAUCCCUUAUUUCCCAGGA